GUUCCUUUCAAGUGAAUACAUGUAUUUAUUGCUAGCGUCUACUAUUACAGUUUGUACCCAUUAAUAUCUUUAAAAAAUGUCACAAUUAUGCUUUAUUUGCAAUUAACUUUUGACGGUAGGUGAAACUGUAACAGUUAGUCGUGGAAUGAAAACUUUGAUUGAUGCGAGUAUCGAAAGAGGCGAUGAGUUUGUUGAUUAUCUGAGAAGUGAAAAGUCUGUAACAGUUCACGUGGAUUGCCGAAAAUCAUACAUCGGGAAAAGUUCAAUUACUGCUAUCAAAAGACAACAUGAGGAUGGACAAGCUAGUACAUCAAAACGAUGAAGCGGAUGAAGAGGCUGAAAGAAAAUUUCUGCAUCGUCGACAAAAAAUUUAUAACGUUGCUACACUUUCAUUCAAAGAAUCCGUUUUGACAGUAGCUCAGGAUCGUUCUGAUGACGUAUCAAAAGCUGUUACUGCAUUAAUUUUGAGUUUGAUUUAGUUGCUGCUGAGGUGCGAAGAAGCCAUCUUACCACGAGACAAACGAUAAAUAAUGAAGGAAGAUACGUCUAGUUUCUCGGCGACCGUCAAUUAUAUUCUCCGGUUAAUACGUACUGUUCGUCAUCGUUAUAUAAAUGUCACUGCUGUACCACGAAUAAAGGCUGAUGGAAAGGCAAAGGUUGCGAUGACGGUAGAUUUAGUUUUGUUUGAGUUAAUUGCGUUCUUUGAAAAAGAUUGAAGCAACUUCUUAAGGACAUAUUUAAAAAAACAAUUACUUCAAGCAGAACGUUUCUUAAGGAGAAAAUUUUAAGAGUUU
rnacentral:misc_RNA from 1 species